rnacentral:rRNA from 1 species
GAUCAUGGCUCAGGACGAACGCUGGCGGCGUGCUUAACACAUGCAAGUCGAACGGGAAUCUACUGAAAGAGUUUUCGGACAAUGGAAGUAGAGGAAAGUGGCGGACGGGUGAGUAACACGUAUCCAACCUGCCGUCUACUCUUGGACAGCCUUCUGAAAGGAAGAUUAAUACAAGAUGGCAUCAUGAGUCCGCAUGUUCACAUGAUUAAAGGUAUUCCGGUAGACGAUGGGGAUGCG